rnacentral:rRNA from 1 species
CGCUGUCACUCCUACGGGGAGGCAGCAGUAGGGAAUCUUCACAAUGGGCGCAAGCCUGAUGGAGCAACACCGCGUGAGUGAAGAAGGGUUUCGGCUCGUAAAGCUCUGUUGUUAAAGAAGAACACGUAUGAGAGUAACUGUUCAUACGUUGACGGUAUUUAACCAGAAAGUCACGGCUAACUACGUGCCAGCAGCCGCGGUAAUACGUAGGUGGCAAGCGUUAUCCGGAUUUAUUGGGCGUAAAGAGAGUGCAGGCGGUUUUCUAAGUCUGAUGUGAAAGCCUUCGGCUUAACCGGAGAAGUGCAUCGGAAACUGGAUAACUUGAGUGCAGAAGAGGGUAGUGGAACUCCAUGUGUAGCGGUGGAAUGCGUAGAUAUAUGGAAGAACACCAGUGGCGAAGGCGGCUACCUGGUCUGCAACUGACGCUGAGACUCGAAAGCAUGGGUAGCGAACAGGAUUAGAUACCCUGGUAG